rnacentral:rRNA from 1 species
CACGUAGGGGACGAGCGUUGUCCGGAUUCAUUGGGCGUAAAGCGCGCGUAGGCGGCUCGGAAAGUCGGUCGUGAAAUGCCGGGGCUCAACCCCGGGACUGCGUCCGAUACUCCCGAGCUGGAGGCAGGUAGGGGAGAUCGGAAUUCCUGGUGUAGCGGUGAAAUGCGCAGAUAUCGAGAGGAACACCUGCGGCGAAGGCGGGUAGCUGGGCCGACACUGACGCUGAUGCGCGAAAGCCAGGGGAGCGAACGGG